rnacentral:rRNA from 1 species
CAUUAACUGAAAAUUUGGGGAGGAGGCUUUGCUGCUGGCCCUUUUUAGGGGCAUCUGUGCACACUCCUUCCCUUAGUUCCUCUUACACACCUGUGCAACCUCCUGUGGGCUUGGGGAAACCUGAGCCUGCAUUUUUGUUCCACAUACACAUAACUGUAUAUAUUUGCCAGUGAAUGCUUCUUGGCUCUUUGAGCCAUAAAAAUAAUCAUUACAACUUUCAACAACGGAUCUCUUGGCUCACGCAUCGAUGAAGAACGCAGCGAAAUGCGAUAAGUAAUGUGAAUUGCAGAAUUCAGUGAAUCAUCGAAUCUUUGAACGCACCUUGCGCUCCCUGGUAUUCCGGGGAGCAUGCCUGUUUGAGUGUCAUGAAAUUCUCAACCUUAUGUCUUCCUUUUGAAAGGCUUGGGGAUUGGAAUGUGGGAGUGUGCCAUGUUUCCUUCCGAGGGAACAGAGGCUCUCCUGAAAUGCAUAAGUGAAUCCAGCUUUCUGCCCUGGGGUUGUUGAAGCUUUGGUUUGAUAGUCCUCUGUUUGUCUAUGCCCCAUUGCUACAACAAAGAGUGCCCCAGAAACCUUGGAAUGUCUGGGUUGCGCUGCAGAUUUGCACCUCCUUUUUGACACUUUGACCUCAAAUCAGGUAGGACUACCC